rnacentral:misc_RNA from 1 species
GAAAUGCGAUAAGUAAUGUGAAUUGCAGAAUUCAGUGAAUCAUCGAAUCUUAGAACGCACAUUGCGCCCGCCAGUAUUCUGGCGGGCAUGCCUGUUCGAGCGUCAUUUCAACCAUCAAGCCCCCGGCUUGUGUUGGGGACCUGCGGCUGCCCGCAGGCCCUGAAAAACAGUGGCGGGCUCGCUGUCACACCGAGCGUAGUAGCAUACAUUCUCGCUCAGGGCGUGCUGCGGGUUCCGGCCGUUAAACGACCUUCAUAACCCAAGGUUGACCUCGGAUCAGGUAGGAAGACCCGCUGAACUUAAGC